AGACGCAUUUCCACUAACAUCACAGCACAGAACAGAGAACGACAGACCAGUGCAGACCAAUACUCUCAUACUACUGUAGCCUUGAUCUUACAGAGAAACAUCUAACAGAGUUUUUGUGCCAGUACACUCAUUUGUCAUUAUGUAAAGAAUGGAAAAGCAGGAGAAGAAGAGGGAUGUUCCAGAUGUUGCUGCCAGGUGGAAGUUGUUACAGCACCACUUGGCAGGGGCAUACAUCGGCGUUCAAAAAUGUUCCCGGCCAAGUGCUUGUGGGAUUCCACAGAUCAGAGGGAUUUCGGGAGUCUGCAGGCUCUCUCUGCCUAGAUAUCCUCAGACAAAGCUAGAGGAGUUUACAGGCUGCUGAGAAAUACAGCGAGCUCUUGAUUGUUGGCUCCUUAAAAAGGAGUCAAAGACAAAGAAUCUGCAAGGGGGGACAGAUGAGAGAAACUGUAAUUAAUCCUAAUAGCAGAGACUCUGGUAGAGGCCUCACACAGAAGCGCUCUGUAGUCUAAACAGUGUAAACUCCUGGCUAAAAUGGAUAACAAGACAGUAAAUGUUUUUUUGUUUGUUGCUGUUCUUUUUUUUUUUUUUUUUUUUUUUAGAUUAUGUAAUAUUUAAAUUAAGUUAAUAGCAUGGAUUUCCAGUAAAUUGUUUAAAGUGUUUGUUUUGAUUAAAUGCAACAAAAUUGUCAUUCUAUACAUAGUCUUCAUCUCAGCAAAUACACAAUUCGUAAACCAGAUUAAUGGGACAUGCGUUACUCUGUGCCCUAUACUGCCCCCUUGUGUUAGUCGUAUGAAUGCCUUCUCACAUAAUCCACAACCUCCUUAUCCUUUUUUUUUCUUUCAAAGAAGUAGAAACGUCUAGAA